AUAAUAGUCUGAGCAAGCAUGCACAUUUGUUAAAAACGUUGCAUGCUCAGCUACAAAUAAUACUCUGAACAUGCGCAUUGCGGCUCGCUUUGCUGAACUUUCGGUAGAUGAGUUGUCUUGCUUACUUGUGAAGAAAAAAAACGCGGAAAACACAAAAAAGCGACUAAAACAGCCGUCUUUCGCCAGUAUAUCUAGAUGUCUAGAAGCAAAACAAAUCAACGAAGACGAUCUAGUUGGCUCAAAAGAAACUUUUGCCAACGUCCUUCGCGAGUUUUAUGCAGAAGCAAGAAAUAGUAUUUUCUUUUGUGAAUAAAGUUUUGUGUCAAAAGCUCGUUGUACAUGUGCCUAGUUACAAUGUCUUAUAACGAAAGAUAAAACGAAGCUUUAUAAGAGAAUAACAAAACAAUUAUUGAACUCGGUUCCCGCAAAAUAUCGUGAUUUGUCGGUGGCUCGCAGACCGACAAAUGUUCGCCAUAUUUUGCUCAACCUCGUCCAAUAAUCGAUCAUUCUUUAUCGUAUUUCGUUCAAAGCAAUUGAGAUUUCCAAUAAUCUUUAAGAUCUCACAGCCACGCGGUAUAUAGGCACA